rnacentral:rRNA from 1 species
GUUGCAGCAGGCGCGAAACUUUACAAUGUGCGAAAGCACGAUAAGGGAACUCUGAGUGCCUCCUAAGGAGGCUGUUCAGGUGUCUAAAAGCACCUGAAGGAAGGGCUGGGUAAGACCGGUGCCAGCCGCCGCGGUAACACCGGCAGCCCAAGUGGUAGCCACGUUUAUUGGGUCUAAAGCGUCCGUAGCCGGCUGGGUAAGUUCCUUGGGAAAUUUGGCUGCUUAACAGUCAAGCUUUCAGGGAAUACUGCCCGGCUUGGGACCGGGAGAGGUCAGAGGUACUCCAGGGGGUAGGGGUGAAAUCCAUUAAUCCUUGGGGGACCACCGGUAGCGAAGGCGUCUGACCAGACCGGGUCCGACGGUGAGGGACGAAGGCUAGGGGCGCGAACCGGAUUAGAUACCCCGGGGUAGU